GACGAACGCUGGCGGCGUGCUUAACACAUGCAAGUCGAACGGAAAGGCCCUGCUUUUGUGGGGUGCUCGAGUGGCGAACGGGUGAGUAACACGUGAGUAACCUGCCCUUGACUUUGGGAUAACUUCAGGAAACUGGGGCUAAUACCGGAUAGGAGCUCCUGCUGCAGGGUGGGGGUUGGAACGUUUCGGCGGUUGGGGCUGGACUCGCGGCUUAUCAGCUUGUUGGUGGGGUAGUGGCUUACCAAGGCUUUGACGGGUGGCCGGCCUGGGAGGGUGACCGGCCACAUUGGGACUGAGAUACGGACCAGACUCCUACGGGAGGCAGCAGUGGGGAAUAUUGCACAAUGGGCGGAAGCCUGAUGCAGCAACGCCGCGUGCGGGAUGACGGCCUUCGGGUUGUAAACCGCUUUCGCCUGUGACGAAGCGUGAGUGACGGUAAUGGGUAAAGAAGCACCGGCUAACUACGUG
rnacentral:rRNA from 1 species